rnacentral:lncRNA from 1 species
GCUAUAUACAGGGGGGUACCAGUACAGAGUGAAUGUGCGGGGCACCGGUGUCAAGGUAGUAUGUACAUGUAGGUAGAGUUAUUAAAGUGACUAUGCAUAGAUAAUAGCAAAGGGUCUGAAUACUUAUUUUUUAUAAAUCUGCAAAAAUGUCAAAAUCUGUUUUUGCUUUGUCAUUAUGGGGUAUUGUGUGUAGAUUGAUGAUGAUAUUUAUUUAUUUAAUCCAUUUUAGAAUAAGGCUGUAAUGUAACAAAAUCCGAAUGCAUUGUACAGUAUAUGCCAUAUACUGCCACCAUGUGGUAGUGGAUGGUACUAAAACAUGUGGAUAAAAACAAACAUUUAGGACAAGAUUAAAAGAUUCAUUUAAAUUACUUUUAUUUAUUAAGUUUACAAAUAAAGUAACAAAUAUAUUUUAUUGGAGCGCAAAGCGCAGUUUUAUUUGAAGCUUGAACAGCCUCUACUUAAUGCAGAACAGUUAACCGCUGCCAAUGAUUCCUAACAGGUUGCGCUUGGUUUUCCAUUUUAGUAUUAUUCUAAAACAUUCUGUACAAUGUUAAACAGCAUGAGGAAAAACCAAUUCAUUAAGUCACUAGAUGUUUCUUGAGACAAAAUCACAAAACAAAAAAUUCUGAUAAGUAGUACAAAACAAAAUACUUUAAAUCACCUUGAAUUGUUUUGUUUUUGUGAGGGUGGCUGUGUACACGUUUUGAGUUGUUUUGUGGUAAUAACUUUACAGUAUAAUAAGCGGUGAUGAAAAGGUAACAUGCCAGAUGUUAUCUAGAGAAACAAGCUCUUUAUUCAACCACUUCUGUGUCAGUCAGACGAAUGGUGAAUUGAAUGACAUUCCAACAUUUUAUGUGCACUUUGCAGGACAUAAAUCAGUUACAAGAAGGCAAAGGAGGAGUUGUAUUGUAACAGUAACAAGGAAAAGAACAGGAGAAGUAGCAGAAUCGAUCGGUAUUCUGAAUGAUGCUAAAAUUAAUAUUAUUACACUUUGUAAAAUCUGUAACUUCCCUCCUCUCAAACUAUGUAAAUGUAGCUCUGGUCCAGGGCGUGGUUCGGCUACUCUCUCACGACAAUGAUCCUUUGGAGCACAGAGCUGGACCAGAGCUAGUGUAAAUGUGUUCAUCAGAGGAGGUCUUCAGUUUCACCACUGUAACCUCACCAUAACCUGUUCACCACUGUAACCUCACCAUAACCUGUUCACCACUGUAACCUCACCAUAACCUGUUCACCAUUGCAUGUUAUGCAUUGCAGCCACUGUAUCAUACAGUAUGACACUUAGUUAAGAGGAAGUAAACAUUGUAAAUAUUGCUCAGUAUUCUUUAGAGUGAGCAGAUGUUCAUGUAGCUAAAGUCAUUACUGCAUGGUAAUGGCACUGAGGCAGUGGCAUUGGAAAGGUUUUAUUUGUUUUUCAAAAGUAUCCAUCAUCAACAAAAUAACUAAGCAAAGUGUAUUUUUGUCACGUUCACAGCUUCAACCAAACUUGCUAAGUACUGUACUGAGGGCCUCCGGUAAGUACGAAAAGUUCAAUCCACAAAACAGGCAAAAGCAACGUUUUACAAAGGACCCCCCAACUGUUUUUAACAAUUUUAAAUGGUUGAGAAUCUACCAUAUCUUUUCAAGUGAUUUCCCGUAGCGGACAUGUUUACAGUGAGUAGAGACUGAAGCGGUAAGCAGAAGGCGAUAGAUCUAGCAGUCCUUGUAAGCUAAUCAGUAGUUAAGGUGACGAGUGUUUAUUAGAAAUAACUUUUCUACGGUAUUCACUUUUAAACAUGUUUGACCCCAGGUAAUGGUUUGUACAGCUGCUUUGAGAAGGAUGUGGGGCUUAAUGAACUAUUCUGGUGUCCACAGAUUGGACCAGUUUUACUGUCUACAACACUGUCAGGUAACCAGAAAGAAACACUGUUCAUCAUUACAACAUUUUGUAAGGUUUCCAAAAAGACCAGAAGGACAUCGACCAAAAACUAAAAUAUCCAUGUCAAAAAACUGUAAUAAUGAUGGAACCAACCAUUCAUUUCUUUGCAUUGUGAGUGGUGAGACUGUCUGCUACUUUACAAUAAGCUACGAACCUGCACUAAAAGCCACAGGUGGUUUCAUUAGAGACUGGGGCAGCAUUAAGCAGAUGAUGAAAUAACUGGGCUUGAACCCCCAGCAUUGCAUUGGCGAUGAGGAAGUCACUUGUUGGUCAAACCCAGUAGCACAGUGUACAGUACUACCGCCAUGUGUUGGAGAUAGAGAUUCCCCUGACCUCUCCUCUUCUGCCUCCACUAGCUCUGGCUUCUACCUCAACUCCACUUUCACUUUACCCACCUUAAAUGGCAUUGGGCUAAGUCACACCUACUACGUCUCAAAUGGCGCCCUAUUCCCUAUUUAGUGCACUACUUUUGACCAGGGUCCAUAGGGCUCUGGUCAAACGUAGUGCACUAUAUAGGGAAUAUGGUGCCAUUUGGGGGACACAGCCUAAGACUGCCCCACUGACAGUAGACACACAUUAUGCCUGGUUAGUAACUAUACAACACCACAAUCUGGUUUUAACUCUUGAGACAUUCACACAAAUACCGUUUCUCACUGACUAACUUUCUCUUCUCCAUUCCUAUCCUUCUACCUCUUUCUCCCCUCUCUCACCACCAACACGAGGCUUGUAUACCGUGCUGCCUGGUGUCGGACACACACAAGGCUUCGUGGACAGGCCAUCAAUAAAGAUAGCCUGAUUGUUGUAGUGGGUCUAAUGAUAGGCUCAGUGCUAGCUAGAGAGCUCUGGCAUAGUGACUGACUGGUUCUAGUAUCUGAAACGUGUCCCCAGAACACUAGAACAAACAGAACGGCUAACGGAACAGUCAAGCAUUCCAUUCUUAACAGACCCUUUAUUUGAAAUGUUAGGUAACCCUGGUUCAGCCUCACUCUGUUCUGUUGUCUGCGUUCAUUUGUUCCUUUCAAAUACAGAGUUGUCCAAGCUUCAACAACUUUUUAUUAACCAUCAGGUCCAUUCCUACUCUCUGCAGUCUACGACUAAGUUUGUCUGUCCCCCCCAAAUCAAAUGUAUUUAACCCGAAUACUAAAAAAAUAAAUGGCACAAAGAAAAAGGAAACGAGUUACCCUAGCCCACCUUCCCCCCUUCCCAGUGUACCUUUUUGACCUUUGUACCCACAGAGCCAGUAAAGCACUUCAACGAAGCACAAAUCAACAGCACUUCCGUUACUCCAUCAUGUCAAAAAAACGGUUAAAAAAAAAGCAAAAUAAAUAAUGGAAGGCACUAGAAACUCCAGCAGAGCUCUCACUGGAGUACUGGGGGGCGAAAGGAGACAGAAAAGACCAAGGGCAAGUCCUACAUUGCACCUUAUUCCCUAUAUAGUGCACUACUUUUGACCAGAGCCCCAUGGGCCCUGGUCGAGGUCCAUCGGCCCCUGGUGAAAAGUUGUACACCAUGUAGGGGAUAGGGUGUUAUUUGGGACUCAACCCCAAGUUACUAUUCAAGUACGUUAAUUGAGUCCAUUUAACAUUCACAUUUAUCUAAUAUAAAGAAAGUAGAAAGAGAAGAAAGGUUAAAGUGACUUGGAUAAGUACUGGAUAAGGAAAAUAGCUAGCCUUUUACUUUGUAUUUUUUUCAGCCUAAGUAUUACCAAUCCACCAUAACGUUUCCUCCAACUGUCUUUUUUUCUUCUUAAACUCAUGUUGUCCAACAACAUUUAGAAUAAUCACAGUGUUUCAACAUCAAAAACUGAUGGGUAAAUACAGGUCCAUACAGAACACAUCUUGUCUUCUUUUUUUAAAUAGAAUAAUAAUAAUGUACAUUUUUGUUUUCAAUCACACUAUUGAAAAGACUCAGAAGUAGAGAGAUCGAGGCCCCUAAUGCUGUCAACAUCAUGAUUAUAAAAGCUGUUAUGUUACUAUUAGAUCAUAGGUUUGAAAGCUUCACAAGCCCUCCUCAGGACAGACAGCGUUGUGUUGCUGGAGAUCCAAGGCUUUACUUACAACCAUCAUACCAUCCCCCAUGCAGCCUGCCUCCAGCCCAGCCCACGUCCAGUCCUCCCCCUGCCCCACCGAGACCUCUCCUUCUCUGGGUCCACGCAGGACCAACACCAACCCACCUCACAACCGUGAAAACAAUCUCAUGUGUGACACAGAGCCAACAGGACAUACCUCCCUCCGUUCGCCCUGCACUCCCUCUCAGAGCUAAACCACCUGUGAAAAAGAAGGCUAUUGAGUCUGAGAGGGUCUACUUCAGUCAACAAGUCCUGUCUGAGAGAAUCUACUUCAGUCCUGUCUGUUAGUUCAGGGGAGAUCUCUCAUUAGGGAUAUGUAGAUGAGAACCAUGGAAACUACCAGCCAGCUUAUACAGACUUUAGGCUUCAGGAUUGGGAUCUCAUUGGCCUCCCAGAUACAGCACAUUUUAGAAUGGAGUAACUAUAAGCCUGAAGUUAAGACUGGGAUAGAUGGGUCUCUCACACAGUACUCCUCUCCAAUCAGGUGAAGAGAUGGUUAGCAUGGAGAUGGGAGUUGUAGUUUCUUUAAAGGUCCUAUACUGGGAGAUGUAGUUUCUUUAAAGGCCCUAUACUGAGAGUUCCUGGAUAGGAGGGUCAACCCUAGCGUAAACCCUUUCAUCAUGCUACAGAAGGGUCUCCUCAGUUCAAUGGGGACAGAGGAAAAAAAUAAAAACACUAAUUAAACAUGGAAUCAUCAUAAACCCAAACUCUUAAAAAAAAGACAUUCUGAAUCUGGUCAUGGAUUGUUUUGUUUCCUAAUGAAGGUCACUAUGUGUUUUUAUUAUAUUUAGGAGGAGGUUUCUAUUGUGUUCUUAUUGCAUCCCAUGGCAACAGGAGGGGUAGAGUAGAGUAUGAACCCCCAGGCCUUUUCUACUGAUUCUCCACCUACACACACCAAUGUACAUCCUAAAUGAUAUAUAGGAAUAGCAGUACAUGUGGUUCCGGAUGUCAACACUGCCUGACCAGCUACAUACAUGGCACCAGUCCCACACCUCGGCCUCACAAGCUCAUUCCUUCACCCCAUAACCUUCCUCACAUCUCCUCAACAUGCUACACAACUCUACCAUAAUGGACUUCUACUGGAGCUGUAUAGUACUGUACGGUCACUUAAAGCUCUGUUCUGGAGGUCAGUUACCAGCAGGAGGAGCUGUAUAGUUCUGUACGGUCACUUAAAGCUCUGUUCUGGAGGUCAGUUACCAGCAGGAGGAGCUGUAUAGUUCUGUACGGUCACUUAAAGCUCUGUUCUGGAGGUCAGUUACCAGCAGGAGGAGCUGUAUAGUACUGUACGGUCACUUAAAGCUCUGUUCUGGAGGUCAGUUACCAGCAGGAGGAGCUGUAUAGUACUGUACGGUCACUUAAAG